UAUCAAAUCAUUAUUUAGAAUUAAAGCCAAGCUGGUGUUUGACAUUAACUCACCGCCUGUCAGAGAGCAUGGGAGCAAUUAUAUUUCUCCUGAUUCUGGCGCUUCUCAAGGACUAUGGUCAUGGAGCGCCACAGAAAGGUACUACUGUGUGUGUUUUUCUGGGUUUAUUGACUACUGGUGCCACUCAACAAUGCUUGG